UCCACGUUUCCUCUGUGGUCAGAUGUCCUGCGGGUUCAAGCACUCCGCGGUGGUGACCGCUGAUGGGAGGCUGUUCUCCUUUGGGAACGGGGACUAUGGCAGGCUUGGGUUGGGAAACACCUCCAACAAGAAGCUCCCUGAGAAGGUCACUGCGUUGGAGGGGUACCAGGUCGGACAGGUGGCGUGUGGUCUGAAUCACACCGUAGCCGUCUCUGCUGAUGGAAUGAUGGUCUGGGCCUUCGGAGACGGAGACUACGGGAAACUGGGCCUGGGGAAUUCUACCGCCAAGUCCUCACCUCAGAAGGUGGACGUUCUCUGUGGCCUCGGCAUCAAGAAGGUGUCCUGUGGAACUCAGUUCUCUGUUGCCCUCACUAAAGAUGGCAACGUGUACACGUUCGGACAAGACCGACUCAUAGGGCUGCCCGAGGGCCGGGCCAGGAACCACAACCGUCCCCAGGUGGUACCAGCUCUGUCUGACGUGUUUAUACAGGAUGUGGCUGUGGGGGCCGAACACACACUGGUCCUGUCCUCCACCGGAGAGGUCUAUACCUGGGGCAGCAACUCAGAGGGUCAGUUGGGUCUGGGCCACACCAACCAUGUGAGAGAGCCCACCCUGGUGACAUCACUACAGGGGAAGGACAUUCACCAGGUCUCUGCUGGUCGCUGUCACUCUGCUGCCUGGACCGCUCCGUCUGUCCCUCCCCGGGCUCCGGGUUCCUCCGUACCCCUCCAGCUAGGCCUGCCGUCAGCGGUGCCCCCAGUUCAGCUCUCUGAGAGAGGUCAGCAUGGAGGCAGUCCGGGCCAGACUACGUGUUCUUUACCACUUCUCUGACCUCAUGUACUCAUCAUGGAGAUUACUCAACCUCAGCCCCAACAACCAGAGCUGUACGUCCCACUACAACACAGGGACGUGGGGCAUCGUCCAGGGCCAGUUGAGGCCCCUGCUGGCCCCCAGAGUCUAUACUCUCCCCAUGGUGAGGUCCAUAGGGAAGACUAUGGUGCAAGGAAAGAACUAUGGACCUCAGAUCACUGUCAAAAGGAUCUCCACACGGGGUCGUAAGUGUAAGCCCAUCUUUGUGCAGAUAGCCCGUCAGGUGGUCAAGCUGAAUGCGUCUGACCUGCGACUGCCGUCCAGGGCCUGGAAGGUCAAGCUGGUGGGGGAGGGGGCCGACGAUGCUGGAGGGGUGUUUGAUGACACCAUCACUGAGAUGUG